UCCUGUCCCGUCUCUCUCCUCCGCUCCUCCUCCCCAUCUCAUCGCCAACAGGCAGCAGCGGAGCAGCCACUACCCACCACCACAACCUGUCCGCAACGACGAACGGUAAGUAGUUCCCGGCGAUGGAGAAUCUGAGAUCUGAAAACUACCACCAAGGUGCGGCCAUGGAGGGUGUCAAGUUUGCGCCAGAUAUGGCCAACACCAACCGGAAGGCCCUGAGCGACAUCAAGAACAUCAUAGUAGGCCCUCACCAGCACCUGGCUGUUAGCAAGAGGGGUCUCUCAGAGAAACCACUUGCUGCUGUAAAUGCCAAGGAUCAAGCUGGUUUUGUCGGACACCGUCUGGUCAUGAGGAAAUUUGCCGCAACACUGGCGAACCAACCCACAACAGCCCAUCUGGUAAUAAUCAUUAAAGUGAUUCAAAUUGUUGCCAUUUUAAUAGGAUCUGCUCAUGCACUGUGUAUUUUUUUUUUGUAAACUUUCCCAUAACUGCAACUUACAAAAUUGAUAUUUGAAUGUGAUGCACUAUCUUUUGCUGCCAGUUUCAUUGUUCUUGGAUAGAGAUGGCCAUGCUUAUUAUGGUAAACUAGUUGAAUAUCCCGCGCGUUGCUGCAGGAUUUGUGGACAAAAAUAUUGAAGUUGAGUGUAUUGAAAAGAUGGAGAUAUGAAGUUGUAGUCAAUUUUAGCAGUGGAGAUAAUAUGGCAUGGUUGUAUAUAAGAUAUGCUUAAAUACUAAAAUUAAAGUACAUAUAAAAAAUUCAAGUUGAUGAAACUGAUAAAAAGAUGAAUCGUAAUUGGUAUGGUAAGAUUGCUUUAAUUUUAUUCUAGGAGAAAAUGGAAAAAGUUUGCAUCAUUUUGUGAAGUGAUUCGACUUUGUAUCGACUCUUUGGCUAAGCGAAAUUUAUGCAAAUAUUUUUUUAAAAAUAAAAUGUGAGGAAUGCAGUUGUGUGUGAAAUGUUGAUAAUAAGAAAUAUAGUUGUACAAAUAUAGUUGUAUCAAACAGUAAAAUAUUAAGGAGGAACCAAACAUAGUAUCAAUAUCAAAACAGAAUGAAUGAAUUUGUAACAUUGAAGAGAAGAGACCUGGAACAAUCCUUCACGGUGCUCUUCCUGCAUGCCACAGUGAUGCGAGUGUCAUAUGAAAGUAGGGUUUGUACUUCUUUUCCAGGGCUUGAAUCAUCUCUUCGAUAGAACCAUAUUUGUAAGGAUCUAGAAUUCUUGGGUUAUCCUGCAGCUCAAUAGUUCCAGGAAAAAAUUGAUAAAAAAAAGACUCAAACUUGAUCAUCAUGAACACAAAUCAAUUGGACAUGUAUCAGGUACGAUGGAUCGCGUACGCAGGCAACGAUAAAUCUAUUCAGGCGGGGUGAUCACUUCCGAGUGGAAGGGAUCGAGAUGGCAGAUGAAUGUGUAACAUUGAGGAGAAGAGACCUGGAACAAUCUUUCACGAUGCUCUUCCUGCAUGCCACAGUGAUGCGAGUGUCAUAUGAAAGUAGGGCUUGUACUUCUUUUCCAGGGCUUGAAUCAUCUCUUCGAUAGAACCAUAUUUGUAAGGAUCUAGAAUUCUUGGGUUAUCCUACAGCUCAAUAGUUCCAGGAAAAAAUUGAUCAGAAAAAAAAGACUCAAACUUGAUCAUCAUGAACACGAAUCAAUUGGACAUGUAUCAGGUACGAUGGAUCGCGUACGCAGGCAACGAUAAAUCUAUUCAGGCGGGGUGAUCACUUCCGAGGGGAAGGGAUCGAGAUGGCAGAUGAAUGUGUAACAUUGAAGGGAAGAGACCUGGAACAAUCCUUCACGGUGCUCUUCCUGCAUGCCAUAGUGAUGCGAGUGUCAUAUGAAAGUAGGGCUUGUACUUCUUUUCCAGGGCUUGAAUCAUCUCUUCGAUAGAACCAUAUUUGUAAGGAUCUAGAAUUCUUGGGUUAUCCUGCAGCUCAAUAGUUCCAGGAAAAAAUUGAUCAGAAAAAAGACUCAAACUUGAUCAUCAUGAACACGAAUCAAUUGGACAUGUAUCAGGUACGAUGGAUCGCGUACGCAGGCAACGAUAAAUCUAUUCAGGCGGGGUGAUCACUUCCGAGGGGAAGGGAUCGAGAUGGAAGAUGGGGAACGAACCUUGUGGACGAAGGCGCCAAAGCCCGAGAUCGAGAUCCGACGCGGGAGGUCCUUCAACUUGACGAACAGAGAGCGCAGCGCCAUGGCAGCGACGGGCCCGCGGAAUCUGGAGGACAGCGUAGCCGCGUAGGGAAUCGAAGGAGGCGUAUGCGGUAUGCGAGCUCGUGGCUUGGGUUGCAUGAACAAACUCUUGGGCUCCUGGUAGAUGAAUGGUCUUGUGUGAGAUGGUGGAUUAACGUACAGCAAAAUAGACGUACAGGAGAACAGGGAGGAUGAAAUCAGACGGUGUAGACUUAAUUGAUGAUGUGGCUUCAUGUGGUUGCAGCAAAAUCAGAGUUAAUGAUGUUUAGUGGGUUCCAUCUAUAUAAUAUAUAUAGAUAGGGCAUUUUUCAAACAUUUGGUCGGUGUGAAAGGGCAUUUAGAUUUUGCAUAGCAUAGAUAUAUUCAAAUGUGAUGCGCCGUGUUUUAUCUAUCAAUUUGAUAAUUCUUUGACGUUGCUGCUUUUUGUGGUAAAUUUUACAUUGGAGUCUUGUAAAUUAAAUUCAGGUUUUACAUAUAGAAUGUCAAGAUUUGAAUCUACUUUGUAAAAUUUACCCUUUUUGCAUCAUGGCCUUCAUUUGGAAUGAGCUGAGAAGGACCAUUAGUGAGGCCAAGAAGUCACUCACUGCUGCUCCAUACAUCAUGUAUAUGAUUGAGAGGGUGACAAAGGUCGCAUUUCCUAAGACCGUCAAGCAUGAACCUUAUCAUUUGCGCGCCCGCUCUGGAGAUGCACCACCUCCUCCUCCAUCUCAUGCCAGUGCAACAAGAAAUCCAAGAUUUGAUCCUGCUCCAUCUUCUUUGGGUGCCUCUUCAUCGUCUCGUCACCGUCAUCAUGACUCAUUUGUGAAGAGGGCCCUACGCAGCUUGUUUGGCAUGUGCAGGAACAUUGCACAGGAUGUUCAUGAGAAUGCUAGAUCAAUUAAUGAGAUUCGGGGUCAUAUGAGACUUCUUUUGGAUCCGCACCGCGAGUUACCAGCUUUUGAUGAUCCCUUUGCCGAGUGGGACGCUGCUGAUGAGGCCGCUAUUGCUGCUGCUCAUGCUCCACUUCCUCGUGCUCGUGGCCAAGCUCGCUCUCCUCGUCGUCGUGCUUCUACUUCCUCUCGUCGUGCUCCUCCAAGUGGCCAAGAGAUCUUUGAUGAGGAUGAGGAGACAGAAGAAGAAGCGCCCCUCAACUACAGCGAGCACCCCGACUCAGAAGAAGAUGAGGACACUUCCAAAGAUGCCGCCCAAGAUGAAGAUGAUGAGUAGACGGACAUCGUGACACUUUUCAUUCCCUUUUUGGCACUUGAUGACAAAGGGGGAGUGAAAAUGUCAUUUAUGUACUCAUUUGGGCAUGUAUCGACUUGUAUCGAACUUAUGUCGUUUCCAUUCCAUUUCGAACUUCCUCGAUCGUUUGUAAGGACUAUGUGGUGUGAGAACAUUUGUAAUGUGUGCUACUUUGUGCCUAGAUGUGUUGUUUAUCUAUGUUCUAAGGAAUCUGUGCUAGUUUGUGAUAUAUUUUGACUUGGUGUGAUGGCUGUUCUCUGGUUUCUGGCAUGGGGAGGCCGGAUACUCCAGGCUAAAUGUCGGAUUCUCUAGAUUUCAUGUCCGGAGUCUCCGGACUCUCACCCGGAGUAUCCGGGUCCUGAUGCCAAAACAUUUUUUUAUUGAGUGGAUAACAUGUCAUAUGCAUCACACAUGUUUUUGCACACCUGCUCACCCCACUGUAGAUCAUAUAAGAGCUUCAUUGUUUUUCUUGAGAUAUAUGCCAAUUUUUGACAUGUUAAGUCAAAUUUGAAAUUCAAAUUCAUAGCAUACUUUUAGGGGGGGCUCUUAUAUGCCAGACGUUUACUGUUUUAUGAUUAUCAAAUGAGCUACAUGUGGGUUGUCAUCAAUCACCAAAAAGGGGGAGAUUGAAAGUGAUCUAGGCCCUUAAGUGGGUUUUGGUGAAUAAUGACAAAACACAUGUAUAUUUAAUCGUGUGAUUGAGCAUGUGUGCAGGUGAUAAGGUUGUACAGGUGAAAUGAAUGGCGACGUACGACCCCUCAAAAAGGAAAUAAAAAGACAUAAUUCAAGCAUACUCAAAAAAUUAGAUUUUAUAUUUGAAAUUUGAGUAUAGGAACGCCGUACUAUCAAGAGGGACUUGAUUCAAAGGUGUUGACUUGAAACUAGUGCUCAAGAGAACCUAGACAGACACUUGUGAGCCACAAAACAAUUCAAAACAGCAAAAAUCGAAGUUUUUCCCUGCUUAACCCGGAUACUCUAGGUAUAGGGCCGGAUACUCCGGAUCUCUUUGCCCGGAGUGUCCGGGUGACUAUUCACGGGCUGAAAAUUAGGGUUGCCCGGAGUCUCCGGGCAUAUACCCGGAGUCUCCGGGUACCCUUUCGCCCAACGGCUAGUUCUGGGCUGAAGACUAUAAAUACCCCUUACAUACCCCUUCAACCCUCUCUCUUGCCACUUUGAUGAGCUGAACUCAAACCUAAGCCAAGAAAGAGCUCUCUCACUCCUCUUUCUCCAUUCUUGAGUGAUUCCCUUGAGGGAUUUGAGUGAGAAGCAAGCAAGAGUAAGGAUUUGUGCUAGUGAGCUCCAUUUCCACCUCUUGAGCACUUGGUUUUGGUCAAUCCCGCGGAUUCAAGUUUGUUACUCUUGGAGCCUUGUGCUCCUAAACGGCUAAGCGUGCUUGUGACUGCUCAAUCAAGAUUGUGAGCUGCACAAGAAGUUUGUAAGCUCCAUUCCUCACCGAGAAAUCCAUAGUAAGUGAUUUUGGGCUUGAGAGGUGAUCUCGCCCUUGGGAGAGGAGCAUAGGGGUUCUUGAGCACCAUCUCUUGAAUUCUUCCUCAACGGAGACGUGUAGCAUCUACGGGUGGGAACUUCGGAAAACAAAUACUUGUCUCUCUUGUGUUGUUUUACUUGAUUUCGUCACCAUUUUCUUGUGAGACCUUGUUUCUAGGGCUUGGGCUCGAUCUACUCACUCACGAGUUUCUAGUGAGUUUUGUUUGUUGGAUAUCAACCUUAAGGAACCCCUGAUACUCAUACUUUAACUCGAUCUACUUUUCAUACAUAGAUUCUUGCAGUUUCUUUUGAGUUUGUUCAUACCCAGAGUAUCCGGGCAAAAUCUGCGUCUGACAAGUUUUAAGUGUUUUUAAGCUGCAGAUUGCCUAUUCACCCCCCUAGGCAUCUUAAGGUCCUUUCAUCGAGCUCCUGUCAUUCUUCAUGAUCAAGCUUAGCCUUGUAGAAUACGAGAUGCUCAAGUUCUGACCAUUGAUGCUAGCAGCUUCUGCCAUCUACACAGCUCAAUGCACGGUAAAUGGGUUCAAAUCCUGGAACAAAUGCUGUGAGCUGCACACAAAAUAUUCAGAAGAACAACUAAUGGAUUGCUCUAGGAUGAUGGUUGAACUGCACCAAAGAGCAGCUCAUGGAAAAAUUACUGCAGUCCAUAGAAAGUACAACACAUUUAGGUAUGGCUGUGCUGCAAAACCAGAACCUGCCACAUUCUUGCUGGAUGCAAGAGCCUAAGCUAGAACUAAUUGGCUGGUUGGUUAUACACACUCUAACUACUUCCAUCGAGAGAGUGAAGGAGGGGUUGUAUAUAGAGGCUGCUUCGACUAAAUUACAGAGUGGGAUCCACAUAAAUGCAACAACCUUUGCAGCAACCAUUUCGUGGACUGGGUUGGUGUUGGUUCAAUAUAUAUAUUAACGUCGCUGAAAAAUGCUGUUUAGUUUUUUUUUCCAAAUAUAUCCAUUGGAAUUCAAUUCAUACACCUGUACCUUUAGUAUUAUUCUUUGUUCAUGUGACACCUCUUCAAUCUGAAAAUAAACAUUGAUUGAAUUUCCUGUUCA